rnacentral:rRNA from 1 species
AACGAACGCUGGCGGCAGGCCUAACACAUGCAAGUCGAGCGCACCUUCGGGUGAGCGGCGGACGGGUUAGUAACGCGUGGGAACGUACCCUUUUCUACGGAAUAGCCUUUGGAAACGAAGAGUAAUACCGUAUACGCCCUUUGGGGGAAAGAUUUAUCGGAGAAGGAUCGGCCCGCGUUAGAUUAGAUAGUUGGUGGGGUAACGGCCUACCAAGUCUACGAUCUAUAGCUGGUUUUAGAGGAUGAUCAGCAACACUGGGACUGAGACACGGCCCAG